CCCGGCGCCCGCGCACACUCCUGGAGCGAAGAGCCGACCUGUUUCACUGUCCCGACUCACCACCAUCUUGGUAGUGUGCAAGACUCUGGGACGGCACGAGAAAGGCAGAGAGGGAGCGAAGGAGCUGGUGGGGUGUCACAGGGCCUAUGUAUGAGGCAGAUGUGAUUUCUGCAUCCAGUUUUGCAAUUUAUCCAUUUACCUGCCUGAGACACUUGGAAACACCUACUUGAUGGCCCUGAUUCAAGUGUUGGCGGACAGAAGGGAGGAGACUUCCUGACCCUCAGAAUGAGAUCAAUGGCUUUUCAAAAGCAGCACACCAAACUGUCAAAGUGGUGAUCCCUCUUCAUUUGACAUGCUCACAAAGAGGAGAAUAAGACAAGAAAACAAGCUAACCCAGAAACAGUGAGAUGACAGUGCGCCUCAAACACAGGAAAAUAAAAUGCAUAACUAUACUGAUUGGAUGCUGCUCAAAAUCAGCCUACAUGCCAUCUUUGGUACGUGUGAACAAAGUUAUCAAUUCCUAUUCUAACUAUGAUAUACUCAAAACUGUACAAUCAGUAAUGGGAUGCUCUAAAGACAAAAAUAACUGCAAACCCUUUUUAAAAAAUUAUUUUCAGUAAUAGUGUUACUUUUUAGUAUUAAGAUUCUAAGAAUACCCUGUGGACAAUGUGGAAGAAACCAAAUGAAUACUUAUGUGAAUGUGAUAUUCUCAAAUUAUCAUCCCUGGUAUUCCAGAGUAACAAGAUUCUUGGUGGUGACAAUAAGAUAGAAGAAGUUAAAUAAAAACCUUGUAGUCUUUAAUUGAAAUAAAACUAUACAUUUAAAACUUUAAUUUAAAUAAAAUUAUGAUUGUUACAUCUUUUAAAUAGAAAAAAAAGGGCCUAGAAACAAUGAUCAAUGCAACAGCAAAUAAGAAUCCCUAGAACCUAAAUACCAUUUUUUUUGCUAGACUCAGCCAAUUUUUCAAGAAACCCUAUUUCCUUCUAAUGUUUCCUUCAAUGAGAUCAAGAGCUAAUACUUUUUCUUUGUUCAAUUUCAGAGAUCAAUAGCUAUUCAAAAGUAGCACACCAAAAAGGAGACAGGGUUUCCUGAAAAAUUAGCCAGUUCUAGGUGUAAUGGUUAGAAAUGUACAAUUGUCUUACCAUAUAGCAAAGAAGUCACUAAAGACUAGUUGGUCAAAGAUGAGACAAUUUGAGCAUCAAUAAGAAAAAUAACUACAAUGGACUGAAACACAUACCUUUUAAAUCCACAGCUCAUUAAGAAUGAGACUAAAAAGGCCAGGCGCGGUGGCUCACGCCUGUAAUGCCAGCACUUUGGGAGGCUGAGGCAGGUGGAUCACCUGAGGUCAGGAGCUCGAGACCAGACUGACCAACAUGGCAAAACCCCAUCUCUACUAAAAAUACAAAAUUGGCCGGGCAUGGUGGCACAAGCCUGUAAUCUCAGCUACUCAGGAGGCUGAGGCAGGAGAAUCACUUGAACCUGAGAGGCGGAGGCUGCGGUAAGCCGAGAUCGCACCAUUGCACUCUAGCCCAGGCAACAACAGUGAAACUCCAUCUCGGAAAAAA
rnacentral:sRNA from 1 species